rnacentral:rRNA from 1 species
UAGGGAAUAUUGCGCAAUGGGCGAAAGCCUGACGCAGCAACACCGCGUGAAGGAUGAAGCUUUUCGGAGUGUAAACUUCUGUCAGCAGGGAAGAAGAAUGACGGUACCUGCGAAGGAAGCAUCGGCUAACUACGUGCCAGCAGCCGCGGUAAGACGUAGGAUGCAAGCGUUGUCCGGAAUUAUUGGGCGUAAAGCGUUCGUAGGUGGUUUAUUAAGUCUGGUGUUAAAUCUCGGGGCUCAACCCCGAUACGGCAUUGGAAACUGGUUAACUGGAGUGCGGUAGAGGUAACAAGAAUUCCUGGUGUAGCGGUGAAAUGCGUAGAUAUCAGGAGGAAUGCCGGAGGCGAAAGCGUGUUACUGGGCCGUAACUGACACUGAGGAACGAAAGCCAGGGUAGCGA